rnacentral:rRNA from 1 species
UACGUAGGGUCCGAGCGUUGUCCGGAAUUAUUGGGCGUAAAGGGCUCGUAGGCGGUUCGUCACGUCGGGAGUGAAAACUCGGAGCUCAACUCCGAGCCUGCUUCCGAUACGGGCAGACUAGAGGUAGGCAGGGGAGAGCGGAACUCCUGGUGUAGCGGUGGAAUGCGCAGAUAUCAGGAGGAACACCGGUGGCGAAGGCGGGUCUCUGGGCCGAUACUGACGCUGAGGAGCGAAAGCGUGGGGAGCGAACAGG